rnacentral:rRNA from 1 species
GUGAACGCUGGCGGUAGGCCUAACACAUGCAAGUCGAACGGCAGCACAGUAAGAGCUUGCUCUUACGGGUGGCGAGUGGCGGACGGGUGAGAAAUACAUCGGAAUCUACUUUUUCGUGGGGGAUAACGUAGGGAAACUUACGCUAAUACCGCAUACGACCUACGGGUGAAAGCAGGGGAUCUUCGGACCUUGCGCGAUUGAAUGAGCCGAUGUCGGAUUAGCUAGUUGGCGGGGUAAAGGCCCACCAAGGCGACGAUCCGUAGCUGGUCUGAGAGGAUGAUCAGCCACACUGGAACUGAGACACGGUCCAGACUCCUACGGGAGGCAGCAGUGGGGAAUAUUGGACAAUGGGCGCAAGCCUGAUCCAGCCAUACCGCGUGGGUGAAGAAGGCCUUCGGGUUGUAAAGCCCUUUUGUUGGGAAAGAAAAGCAGCAGGUUAAUACCCCGCUGUUCUGACGGUACCCAAAGAAUAAGCACCGGCUAACUUCGUG